UGGGGUUCUGGAUUGUUCGGCCCCUCAGGCCCGCAGGCCCUGGGGGCAAUUCGAACGGGUGGCGGGAAGCCGCUGACGUCAUGCGGCGGGCAUUGUUCUCGCAGCGGGCGGGCGCGGACCACUGGGAGCAGUACCCACUUGCCAUCUGUUUGUUUCCUCCCAUAGGUCAGCUCAGCCGAGGGGGCGGCCAAGGAAGAGCCCAAGAGGAGAUCGGCGAGGUUGUCGGCUAAACCUCCUACAAAAGUGGAGACGAAGCCAAAAAAGGCCGCAGGGAAGGUAGGUUUGGAAUUUCGGUUAGGAUACAGCGGUCCCUCAGGCUAUAGCGUCCUUGAUUCUGCAAACACCUAAAUGAAAAUGAUAAACUCAAAAUUGAUCCUUUUAGCUACUCAUCGUAUGUUAUGAUUAACUGUAGCAGAAUAGUCAACUUGACCAUACAACAGGGUGCUUUUUUCAGGUGAAUGGUCUUAAUGUGAGAGUAAAAAUUUUGUCAGUAGUUAUUUGAUAGUUUGAUUAGUGUUCAUGCUUAAAAGAGAUUGGGGGUUGGUAAGGUUAUAAUGGGAAGAGAUUCUUCCAACUAUUCUAUCUACUUGUUCUGUUGUGGACCUUGAGAGAAUAAUGGGUGAUGGCAACAUUGGUGAUAUAUAGCUGAGGCUGUAGGUUUAACUAUAUGCCUAGUGGAACUUGGGCAAAUACUAAUAAUACAUUUCUCCUUGGUACAUACUGUUGUCAUGUUUACAGGGAGUGGACCUUAAGUUUUCUCAUGUAAAAGGCAUGUCUAAGUAAUUAGGGUUUACCUGUGGGUACAUAAUACAGUUAAUGUGGCAGCUAUUGUAGGUAUGUAUUUUGUCAAGUCAAAAAAUGUAAGUUUAGUGUAAGUUAAGUAAGUAUUAACUUGAAGUAUUUUCUUGUCUUA